rnacentral:rRNA from 1 species
GACGAACGCUGGCGGCGUGCCUAACACAUGCAAGUCGAACGAAAAGGCCUUUUCGUGGGUCCUCUGGGGGCGUACGGGGGAGUAACACGUGGGUGGUCUUCCCUGAACUCUGGGAUAGGCCUGGGAACCUGGGCCCAAUACUGGUGAGGACAGCACUUUUGUGUGUGUGUGGGAACGUUUUUGCGGUGUAGGUUGAGCCUGCGGCCGAUCAGCUUGUUGGUGGGGUAAUGGCUGACCAAGGCGGCGCCGGGCAACGGUACUCCGAGGUUGGGGGGCCACAUAGACACUGAGAGAAGGCCCAGACCCCGACGGGAGGCAGAAGUGGGGAAUGUUGCAAGAGGGGCGCAAGCCGGAUGCAGAGACGCCGCGUGGGGGAGGACGGUCUUAGGGUUGAAGACGUCAUUCGCAAGGGACGAAGCGUUUUGUGACGGUACCUGGAGAAGAAGCACCGGCUAACUACGUG